rnacentral:rRNA from 1 species
CUAUUAUUUUAAGUGUUAAUUUUACUUACCAGGGUAGUAUUAGUUAGAUCUUUAAACCCAAAGAAUUUGGCGGUAUCUUAUUCCAUUUAGAGGAACCUACCCCAUAAUUGAUAAUACACGAUUAACUAUACUUAAUUUAUUUGUUUGUAUAUCUCCGUUAUUAGAAAAUCUUUUUGGAGUUAUAAUUUUCUUGAUUUACAAUUAUAAAAUAUUUCAGGUCAAGGUGCAGCUUAUAAUUAAGAGGAGGUGGGUUACAAUAAAUUUUAGCUUAUUACGUAUUUAGUAGUGGAAUGCUAUUAAUAAAGGUGGAUUUAAUAGUAAUUUGAUUUAUUUAAUUCAAUUGAUAUUGGCUCUGAGGUGUGUACACAUCGCCCC